UACGUAGGGGGCGAGCGUUGUCCGGAUUUAUUGGGCGUAAAAGGCUUGUAGGUGGCCACGCCAAGUCGGAUGUGAAAUCUCCCGGCUCAACUGGGAGGGGUCAUUCGAUACUGGCGGGCUCGAGGCCGGUAGGGGGAAGUGGAAUUCCCGGUGUAGUGGUGAUAUGCGUAGAUAUCGGGAGGAACACCAGUGGCGAAGGCGGCUUUCUGGGCCUUACCUGACGCUGAGACGCGAAAGCGUGGGGAGCGAACCGG
rnacentral:rRNA from 1 species